rnacentral:rRNA from 1 species
CCUACGGGAGGCAGCAGUGAGGCAUAUUGGUCAAUGGCCGCCGGGCUGAACCAGCCAAGUCGCGUGAGGGAUGACGGUCCUAUGGAUUGUACACCUCUUUUGUCAGGGAGCAAAGGGCGCCACGUGUGGCGCUUUGCGAGUACCUGAAGCAAAAGCAUCGGCAAACUCCGUGCCCGCAGCCGCGGUAAUACGGAGGAUGCGAGCGUUAUCCGGAUUUAUUGGGUUUAAGGGGUGCGCAGGCGGAAUGUCAAGUCAGCGGUAAAAUUUCGGGGCUAAACCCCGUCGUGCCGUUGAAACUGGCGUUCUUGAGUGAGCGAGAAGUAUGCGGAAUGCGUGGUGUAGCGGUGAAAUGCAUAGAGACCACGCAGAACUCCGAUUGCGAAGGCAGCAUACCGGCGCUCAACUGACGCUCAUGCACGAAAGCGUGGGUAUCGAACAGGAUUAGAUACCCCAGUAGUC